GCUAAUACCGCAUAAUGUCGCAAGACCAAAGUGGGGGACCUUCGGGCCUCAUGCCAUCAGAUGUGCCCAGAUGGGAUUAGCUAGUAGGUGGGGUAACGGCUCACCUAGGCGACGAUCCCUAGCUGGUCUGAGAGGAUGACCAGCCACACUGGAACUGAGACACGGUCCAGACUCCUACGGGAGGCAGCAGUGGGGAAUAUUGCACAAUGGGCGCAAGCCUGAUGCAGCCAUGCCGCGUGUGUGAAGAAGGCCUUCGGGUUGUAAAGCACUUUCAGCGG
rnacentral:rRNA from 2 species